rnacentral:rRNA from 1 species
AUUGAACGCUGGCGGCAGGCUUAACACAUGCAAGUCGAGCGGGGUGAUGGUGCUUGCACUAUCACUUAGCGGCGGACGGGUGAGUAAUGCUUAGGAAUCUGCCUAUUAGUGGGGGACAACAUCUCGAAAGGGAUGCUAAUACCGCAUACGUCCUACGGGAGAAAGCAGGGGAUCACUUGUGACCUUGCGCUAAUAGAUGAGCUUAGGUCGGAUUAGCUAGUUGGUGGGGUAAAGGCCUACCAAGGCGACGAGCUGUAGCGGGUCUGAGAGGAUGAUCCGCCACACUGGGACUGAGACACGGCCCAGACUCCUACGGGAGGCAGCAGUGGGGAAUAUUGGACAAUGGGGGUAACCCUGAUCCAGCCAUGCCGCGUGUGUGAAGAAGGCCUUAUGGUUGUAAAGCACUUUAAGCGAGGAGGAGGCUCUUUUGGUUAAUACCCAAGAUGAGUGGACGUUACUCGCAGAAUAAGCACCGGCUAACUCUGUGCCAGCCGCCGCGGUAA